AAAUAAUGGUCCAGCAAUUCGUGCCACUAAGGGAUUUGAAGGGUUAACAUUGAGGCCUGGGUUUAGGUGAUAAGAGAACAAAGGGAUUUCUUCAGAGAAAAACUGCUGACUCUGCACGGACGUGCAGUAACUUCUGACAUCCGGCCAAGAGACCACUAGAUAAGGAGGAAGAAUAUGAGCCUCCCCGUCCGAGCGGCCCCUGAGAGACUACCAGAGACUGAUAAGCAGGCGCCCCUGGGAGGACUUCGGAUUCGGGAAAUCAAUUAUAAUAACCCUGCCUCUUUUAGAAGUAGUAAUGAAUAUGUAUUAGCCUAGGAGCAUAAAAAUCAGCUGUCUUAUGUAACGGGUGUGCGUCCUGGUGGAGCAGAGACUCCUGGCGCACCCAGCGCUGUUUGCUUGCCUCUAUUCGUUUAAUAAAUUGUAAACUUUGAUUGUAAUCCUAUUUGGGACUCAGUCAUUUAUAACAAUUGGGGGCUCAUCCGGGAUGGUCUUGGUUCCUGAAUUCUGACUUGAUCUAGGAGGGGCGCCCCCACCAUUUGGUGGCUCCUGUUCGAGUCGGGUCGGGACUAACACCAUCUUGAACCUGAAUAAGGGCAAGCAAAGAUUUAGAUUUUUUUAUGAGCUCCCUUUGCCGGCUGCAGCACUAUAUUUUGCCCAUAAUUCUGCGCGUGAAGAUCCGAACGAAGACGACGGAGUCUAUUUCUAGGAACUGUUCCAGAAGAAGGACCGUUGGAACACAAUUGUGUGGAAAUAAUCGAACAUACACCAGCCGCAAAGAUUCGAAGGAUGUACCCCUUGAAAGGUAUUCAGUGGGAAUACCACACUCCGUGGCACCCACAAAGCUCAGGGAAAGUAGAAAGGAUGAAUCAAACAAUAAAACAACAAUUGGCUAAGUUAAUGAUCGAGACACAGCUGCCCUGGACGAAAUGCUUGCCAUUGGCACUUUUAAACAUAAGAACUAAACUACACAGUGAGACUGGAUUAUCAUCAUAUGAAAUGUUAUAUGGUAUGCCUUAUUCUCAAGGGAUGCCCCUAGGGAACAAUGUAGUUGAGGAUCAUAGUAUCCAGAAAUAUAUAAUUACCAUUGGAAGGAGAUUACAGGAGCUAAGAGAAAUUGGGAUGAUGACUCAAACACCACCUUUAGGAUUUGCUAUUCAUAAAAUACAACCAGGAGACAAGGUCUUAAUAAAAACCUGGAGAGAAGAAUCAUUGAACCCCCGAUGGGAGGGACCGUACCUUGUUUUACUUACUACUGAAACAGCUGUGAGAACAGCAGAAAGGGAUUGGACCCACGCAUCCAGAAUAAAAGGACCAAUAACUACCGAAGCCUGGAGGGUUGAGUCCACUCCUGGGGAACUGAAACUGAGACUAAAGAGGAACUAAUAUCCUAGCAAUGAGGUUCUGCAUGAAUUAAGGGCACUGGAUAAAGAGGACAAGGCUGAAGGGAGGAAAGGGAGAAGGCAAGACCGGGGUAGGACCCUCCACUGCGGUGUGUAUGGUCUACCGAGGGAGGCAACCCCUAUGGGUAUUGACCGCCGAGUGAGAGUGCCUCGACCGGACUUCUCCCGCGCUAAGAUCAGGUUGUCCUGAGAAAAAUAACAUGAGAACCUUUUAAACCCAUAAUAAAAUUGUGAUUAGUUUUUCCAGGAGCUGGAUCACCCCGAAGGGCUGAAUGGUAACACAAGCUCUGAAAGCGGGCCCAACCCCAUGAUUGAAGGCGUUUCCCACACUCUCAAGAUUGGACGGUGAAAAAGGAUAAGAAAUGCUAUACUUCCUGGUAUUGUUUUUACAGGGGCAAUUGGGCCAUGGGCAGGAAUGGAGGAAUAACUUUUCACUUUGGGGGAGGAAGUGGCCAAGGCCUUUAACCUUAGUAACUGCUGGAUUUGUGGAGGACCGGGGGGGAACUGAAAGUUGGCCCUGGGUAGCAGGCCCGGUCGAACCCAAGUGGUGGGUCAGUAAUUUGAGCGAAGUUCAUAAUGGGACGCAAUUUUGGAAAGAGGAAGGAGGCCCAUGGCAGUUGCACUCGUCAGCUCGGGGUGUAUACUGCUUGAACAGAACAGGAACAGUGGCGGUGGGAAAAAGCAUUUGCAAUUGGACUCUGUCCCCCGGAUAUGAUUGUACCGAUCCUGGAUGUAGUCCUAUAAACUGUACAGCACGUAGUGGGAAAUGGAACGCCACACAUGUUCAGCAGAGAAACGGGACUUGGUUGGAAUGCUCAUAUAGAGAAUUUUUUGGAUCCGGAUGUAAAACUGUGGCAAGAGCACAAGCAGGGGGACAAUUCGAUGGUCAAAUCUUGAGCUGUCAGCGUGAUAACACCACUAAGGAACAGCAUGUGGUGCGGGUCUAUCGCUGGAGAUGGCAGAAUGAGAAUGGGAGGCGAGUGUUCUUUAAACAUUUCUGGUCAGCUUAUAAUAUGACAGGCCACUAAAGAGAACUGAAUUGUGACUGUAAGUGGAAACCCGAUGCGGGAGCUUGGAAGUGCGCAUAUACGAGUACAAACGGGGCAGACAUUGUAACAGGACCACUUGGUAACAAGGACACUCUGUAUUAUCACACCCCAAAGGGUAAAGAGGGAUGGGAUGGUCCUUUUCCAAAAGGGACGUGGGCCCUAAAGGGACAUUACUGGGUGUGUGGCAAACAUGCUUACAAGAGGCUACCCGGAAACUGGUUGGGAAUAUGCUAUGUGGGGUACAUAAGACCCUUGUUCUUUUUAUUGUCACAAACACAAGGAAAUCAUUUAGGAAUAAGAUUAUAUGAUGACCUGAACAGAAUGAAACGAUCUAUUGAUACUUCCUUAGCCGGGGGUAGUGCCCAAAAAUGGGGAAAGGAUGAAUGGCCUCCUGAAAGAAUCAUACAGCAUUAUGGGCCAGCUACCUGGAACCCGAAUGAGUUGGUAUCAGGAGCCCAAGAACCUAUUUAUAAUUUGAACCGAAUAAUUAGGUUGCAAGCUAUCUUCAAAGUUGUAACCAAUCAAACAGCGACGGCCUUGGAUCUUCUGGCUGAUCAAUCCACUCAGAUGAGGAAUGCUAUCUUUCAACAUAGAAUGGUCUUAGACUAUUUACUAGCAGAAGAAGGGGGAGUGUGUGGAAAACUGAACGAUUCUAAUUGUUGUUUACAAAUUGAUGAUAAUGGAAAAGUGGUUAAACAGAUAACAAAGGAAAUUAGGAAGGUAGCCCACGUCCCAGUACAAACUUGGAAGGGUAUGGAUUGGGAUUUCUUUUCGUGGUUGCCCGGUGGACCAUGGGUUAAAAGGAUGCUGUUUUUAUUUUUAUGUGGUGUAAUGACAUUAUUGUUUAUACCUUGUAUGAUACCUUGCUUUACGUUGUUGGUACUGCGAAUAAUAAAUAGCACCCAAUUUGUGAUGACUUCGGGAGAGAAAAGGUGAUGUGUCGAUAAUGAUGCUUAAGAAAUGGACACCCCGAGAACUGACUGUUGAAACCCAAUUGUAACUAACAAAGGUUGAAGAAGAGACACGAAUUGAUGAUAUUAAAAA